rnacentral:lncRNA from 1 species
AAAAUGUUUGUUUCCUUAUAUUUAAAAUAAGAUAGAAAUGCCUAGCUUGUGAGUCUUUGUGAGUUUUGAGGGCAUAAGACACUGAGUGCGUUUAACACUGUUCCGUUUUUGAAUAGAUGUGUCUCUUUUGUUCUUUUUCAUUACCUAGAACUGUGCUGAGGCUAUUGUAGAAACUCAGUAAUGAGCUGAUUUUACACUUUAUCUUCCUAAUCCUUGCUAUGACAUUCUUCUUUUUCUAUUUUCUUUCAGCUUCAGGACUGAUGAAGUUGCAUUUCUGAACUAGUAUUAAAAGGGUGAGAGAGAUUUAUGUGAAACAACUGAAACAUUUCAGUGUCAAAAUACUCCCAAAUACAGAACAACAGAGUAGAUCUGUGUGCUCACUCUUGCAAGAAAGGAAGAAGGAGGAUCUGGAGGAAAUUGAACAAUAAAGCUUCCUAGCUGAAUCCAGUAAAUUUUCCCAACCUCUCCAGAAUAUGAAAAAAAAAAAUGUUGCUUUUCUGUUUUGGUAAUUUUUCACAGUUAUGAAAGAAUUGGUGAGAGCAGUUUAGGAGAUGCAAUGACACUGUAUAACAGAAGAAAAA